CCUGGCUCACGACGAACGCUGGCGGCGCGCCUAACACAUGCAAGUCGAACGAGAGAUGAGGAGCUUGCUCUUCAAAUCGAGUGGCGAACGGGUGAGUAACGCGUGAGGAACCUGCCUCAAAGAGGGGGACAACAGUUGGAAACGACUGCUAAUACCGCAUAAGCCCACGGCUCGGCAUCGAGCAGAGGGAAAAGGAGCAAUCCGCUUUGAGAUGGCCUCGCGUCCGAUUAGCUAGUUGGUGAGGUAACGGCCCACCAAGGCGACGAUCGGUAGCCGGACUGAGAGGUUGAACGGCCACAUUGGGACUGAGACACGGCCCAGACUCCUACGGGAGGCAGCAGUGGGGAAUAUUGCACAAUGGGGGAAACCCUGAUGCAGCGACGCCGCGUGGAGGAAGAAGGUCUUCGGAUUGUAAACUCCUGUUGUUGAGGAAGAUAAUGACGGUACUCAACAAGGAAGUGACGGCUAACUACGUGCCAGCAGCCGCGGUAAAACGUAGGUCACAAGCGUUGUCCGGAAUUACUGGGUGUAAAGGGAGCGCAGGCGGGAGAACAAGUUGGAAGUGAAAUCCAUGGGCUCAACCCAUGAACUGCUUUCAAAACUGUUUUUCUUGAGUAGUGCAGAGGUAGGCGGAAUUCCCGGUGUAGCGGUGGAAUGCGUAGAUAUCGGGAGGAACACCAGUGGCGAAGGCGGCCUACUGGGCACCAACUGACGCUGAGGCUCGAAAGUGUGGGUAGCAAACAGGAUUAGAUACCCUGGUAGUCCACACCGUAAACGAUGAUUACUAGGUGUUGGAGGAUUGACCCCUUCAGUGCCGCAGUUAACACAAUAAGUAAUCCACCUGGGGAGUACGACCGCAAGGUUGAAACUCAAAGGAAUUGACGGGGGCCCGCACAAGCAGUGGAGUAUGUGGUUUAAUUCGACGCAACGCGAAGAACCUUACCAAGUCUUGACAUCCCUUGACGAUGCUGGAAACAGUAUUUCUCUUCGGAGCAAGGAGACAGGUGGUGCAUGGUUGUCGUCAGCUCGUGUCGUGAGAUGUUGGGUUAAGUCCCGCAACGAGCGCAACCCUUAUGGUCAGUUACUACGCAAGAGGACUCUGGCCAGACUGCCGUUGACAAAACGGAGGAAGGUGGGGAUGACGUCAAAUCAUCAUGCCCUUUAUGACUUGGGCUACACACGUACUACAAUGGCGUUAAACAAAGAGAAGCAAGACCGCGAGGUGGAGCAAAACUCAGAAACAACGUCCCAGUUCGGACUGCAGGCUGCAACUCGCCUGCACGAAGUCGGAAUUGCUAGUAAUCGUGGAUCAGCAUGCCACGGUGAAUACGUUCCCGGGCCUUGCACACACCGCCC
rnacentral:rRNA from 1 species